GACGGAGGGUGCAAGCGUUGUUCGGAUUGACUGGGCGUAAAGGGCGUGUAGGCGGUUGGUCAAGUCUGGUGUGAAAGCCCGGGGCUCAGCUCCGGAAGUGCAUCGGAAACUAGCCGACUGGAGCGCGAUAGAGGAGGGUGGAAUUCCUGGUGUAGCGGUGAAAUGCGUAGAUAUCGGGAGGAACACCUGUGGCGAAAGCGGCGCACUGGACCACAACUGACGCUGAGGCGCGAAAGCUAGGGGAGCAAACAGG
rnacentral:rRNA from 1 species